GGCAAAAGCUCAAAUUUGAAAUCUGGUACCUUCGGUGCCCGAGUUGUAAUUUGAAGAUUGUACUCUGGAGUUGGCCCUUGUCUAUGUUCCUUGGAACAGGACGUCACAGAGGGUGAGAAUCCCGUGCGAUGGGGAGUCCAGCUCUAUGUAGAGUGCUUUCGAAGAGUCGAGUUGUUUGGGAAUGCAGCUCUAAGUGGGUGGUAAAUUCCAUCUAAAGCUAAAUAUUGGCGAGAGACCGAUAGCGAACAAGUACAGUGAUGGAAAGAUGAAAAGAACUUUGAAAAGAGAGUGAAAAAGUACGUGAAAUUGUUGAAAGGGAAGGUUAUUAGAUCAGACUUGGUGUUUGUUGAUAUUCAGUCUCUUGUAGNCUGUUCACUCGACUUUCACUGGGCCAGCAUCGGUUUGGGUGGCAGGAUAAUGGCUGUUGAACGUGGCU
rnacentral:rRNA from 1 species